rnacentral:ncRNA from 1 species
AAUAAAUUUUUUAUGGUUUAAAAAUUUUAUUAUAAAUUUAUUUUACAUAUAAAUUUUAGUGUUAAUUAUUAUUUAUUUAAACAAUAAAUAAUUAUUUUAUGUAGUAAUUAAUUUUAAAAAUUUAAGAAAUUAAGAUUUAGUAAUAUAAAAAUUAUUAACUAAUUUUGUGCCAGCAGUUGCGGUUAUACAAAAAUUGAUUUAAAAUUUUUUAGAUAUUAAUAAAUAAAGUAUAUUUUAUAAUAUAAAAAUUAAAUUAUUAAGUGAAAUUUUAAUUUAAUAAAAAAUUAUUUAAAAAUUAUGAAUUAAUAAAUUUAAUAAAAAACUAGGAUUAGAUACCCUAUUAUUAAAAUUUAAAUUAUUAUGCUAAAAUAGUAGGUAAUUUUUUAUUGAAACUUAAAUAAUUUGGCGGUAUUUUAGUUUAUUUAGAGGAAUCUGUUUAAUAAUUGAUAAUCCACGAAUAAAUUUACUUAAUUUAAAAUUUUGUAUAUCGUUGUUAAAAAAAUAUUUUUUAAUAAAAAUAAUAUUUAAAAAUUUUAAAAUAAAAUUAAAUCAGAUCAAGAUGCAGAUUAUAAUUAAGAAUAUAAUGGAUUACAAUAAAUUUAUUUAAUUGGAUUUUAAUAUGAAAUAAUUAAAUGAAAUUGGAUUUAAAUGUAAUUUUAUUUAAUUUAAUAAAAUGAUUAAAUAUUAAAAUAUGUACAUAUUGCCCGUCGCUUUCAUUAAUAAAUUGAAAUAAGUCGUAACAAAGUAGAAGUACUGGAAAGUGUUUCUAGAAAGAU